rnacentral:rRNA from 1 species
AGUUUGAUCAUGGCUCAGAGCUGAACGCUGGCGUGUAAGGCCUAACACAUGCAAGUCGAACGGCAGCACAGGAGAGCUUGCUCUCUGGGUGGCGAGUGGCGGACGGGUGAGCGAAUACAUCGGACAUCUACUUUUUCGUGGGGGAUAACGUAGGGAAACUUACGCUAAUACCGCAUACGACCUACGGGUGAAAGCAGGGGAUCUUCGGACCUUGCGCGAUUGAAUGAGCCGAUGUCGGAUUAGCUAGUUGGCGGGGUAAAGGCCCACCAAGGCGACGAUCCUGUAGCUGGUCUGAGAGGAUGAUCAGCCACACUGGAACUGAGACACGGUCCAGACUCCUACGGGAGGCAGCAGUGGGGAAUAUUGGACAAUGGGCGCAAGCCUGAUCCAGCCAUACCGCGUGGGUGAAGAAGGCCUUCGGGUUGUAAAGCCCUUUUGUAGGGAAAGAAAUCCAGCUGGCUAAUACCCGGUUAGGGAUGACUGGUAUCCAAAGAAUAAGCACCGGCUAACUUCGUGCCCAGCAGCCGCGGUAAUACGACAGGGGUGCAAGCGUUUACUCGGGAAUUACUGGGCGUA